AGUGAACGCUGGCGGUAGGCCUAACACAUGCAAGUCGAACGGCAGCACAGGAGAGCUUGCUCUCUGGGUGGCGAGUGGCGGACGGGUGAGGAAUACAUCGGAAUCUACCUUUUCGUGGGGGAUAACGUAGGGAAACUUACGCUAAUACCGCAUAAGACCUUCGGGUGAAAGCAGGGGACCUUCGGGCCUUGCGCGGAUAGAUGAGCCGAUGUCGGAUUAGCUUGUUGGCGGGGUAAAAGCCCACCAAGGCGACGAUCCGUAGCUGGUCUGAGAGGAUGAUCAGCCACACUGGAACUGAGACACGGUCCAGACUCCUACGGGAGGCAGCAGUGGGGAAUAUUGGACAAUGGGCGCAAGCCUGAUCCAGCCAUACCGCGUGGGUGAAGAAGGCCUUCGGGUUGUAAAGCCCUUUUGUUGGGAAAGAAAACUUGCGGGCUAAUACCCAGCAAGUCUGACGGUACCCAAAGAAUAAGCACCGGCUAACUUCGUGCCAGCCGCCGCAGUAACAC
rnacentral:rRNA from 1 species